UACGGAGGGUGCAAGCGUUAUCCGGAUUCACUGGGUUUAAAGGGUGCGUAGGUGGGCAGGUAAGUCAGUGGUGAAAUCUCCGGGCUUAACCCGGAAACUGCCGUUGAUACUAUUUGUCUUGAAUAUUGUGGAGGUAAGCGGAAUAUGUCAUGUAGCGGUGAAAUGCUUAGAUAUAACAUAGAACACCAAUUGCGAAGGCAGCUUACUACACAAUGAUUGACGCUGAGGCACGAAAGCGUGGGGAUCAAACAGG
rnacentral:rRNA from 1 species